rnacentral:tRNA from 3 species
GCACUCGUAGCUCAGCUGGAUAGAGUACUCGGCUACGAACCGAGCGGUCACAGGUUCGAAUCCUGUCGAGUGCGCCA